GCGGGCGUGGUGGAAUUGGUAGACACGCUAGACUUAGGAUCUAGUGCCGCAAGGUGUGAGAGUUCGAGUCUCUCUGCCCGUA
rnacentral:tRNA from 2 species